GAGUUUGAUCAUGGCUCAGAUUGAACGCUGGCGGCAUGCCUUACACAUGCAAGUCGAACGGCAGCACGGGGGCAACCCUGGUGGCGAGUGGCGAACGGGUGAGUAAUACAUCGGAACGUGCCCAGUAAUGGGGGAUAACCAGUCGAAAGACUGGCUAAUACCGCAUACGACCUAAGGGUGAAAGCGGGGGAUCGCAAGACCUCGCGUUAUUGGAGCGGCCGAUGUCUGAUUAGCUUGUUGGCGGGGUAAAAGCCCACCAAGGCGACGAUCAGUAGCUGGUCUGAGAGGACGACCAGCCACACUGGGACUGAGACACGGCCCAGACUCCUACGGGAGGCAGCAGUGGGGAAUUUUGGACAAUGGGCGCAAGCCUGAUCCAGCCAUGCCGCGUGCGGGAAGAAGGCCUUCGGGUUGUAAACCGCUUUUGGCAGGAACGAAACGGCGCGAGCCAAUACCUCGCGUUAAUGACGGUACCUGCAGAAUAAGCACCGGCUAACUACGUGCCAGCAGCCGCGGUAAUACGUAGGGUGCAAGCGUUAAUCGGAAUUACUGGGCGUAAAGCGUACGCAGGCGGCUAUUCAAGUCUGGGGUUAAAGCCCGCAGCUCAACUGCGGAAAGGCCUCGGAAACUGGAUGGCUAG
rnacentral:rRNA from 1 species